rnacentral:rRNA from 1 species
AACGAACGCUGGCGGCAUGCCUAACACAUGCAAGUCGAACGAUUGCCUUCGGGUGAUAGUGGCGCACGGGUGCGUAACGCGUGGGAAUCUGCCCUUAGGUUCGGAAUAACAGCUGGAAACGGCUGCUAAUACCGGAUGAUAUCGCGAGAUCAAAGAUUUAUCGCCUGAGGAUGAGCCCGCGUUGGAUUAGGUAGUUGGUGGGGUAAAGGCCUACCAAGCCGACGAUCCAUAGCUGGUCUGAGAGGAUGAUCAGCCACACUGGGACAGAGACACGGCCCAGACUCCUACGGGAGGCAGCAGUGGGGAAUAUUGGACAAUGGGCGCAAGCCUGAUCCAGCAAUGCCGCGUGAGCGAUGAAGGCCCUAGGGUUGUAAAGCUCUUUUACCCGGGAAGAUAAUGACUGUACCGGGAGAAUAAGCCCCGGCUAACUCCGUG